CAGCCGCCACGGGAAUACGAAGGGAGCUAGCGUUGUUCGGAUUUACUGGGCGUAAAGGGCGCGUAGGCGGGCGAAUAAGUCAGGGGUGAAAUCCCAAGGCUCAACCUUGGAACUGCCUUUGAUACUGUUUGUCUUGAGUUCGAGAGAGGUAAGUGGAACUGCGAGUGUAGAGGUGAAAUUCGUAGAUAUUCGCAAGAACACCAGUGGCGAAGGCGGCUUACUGGCUCGAAACUGACGCUGAGGCGCGAAAGCGUGGGGAGCAAACAGGAUUAGAUACCCGCGUAGUCCCGUCUCUUAUACA
rnacentral:rRNA from 1 species